UACGUAGGUGGCAAGCGUUGUCCGGAAUUAUUGGGCGUAAAGCGCGCGCAGGCGGUCUUUUAAGUCUGAUGUGAAAGCCCACGGCUCAACCGUGGAGGGUCAUUGGAAACUGGGGGGACUUGAGUACAGAAGAGAAGAGUGGAAUUCCACGUGUAGCGGUGAAAUGCGUAGAGAUGUGGAGGAACACCAGUGGCGAAGGCGACUCUUUGGUCUGUAACUGACGCUGAGGCGCGAAAGCGUGGGGAGCAAACAGG
rnacentral:rRNA from 1 species